rnacentral:rRNA from 1 species
UGGGGAAUAUUGGACAAUGGGGGCAACCCUGAUCCAGCAAUGCCGCGUGUGUGAAGAAGGCCUGCGGGUUGUAAAGCACUUUUGGCAGGGAUGAAAAGCACUGGAUUAAUAACCCAGUGUGUUGACCUAACCUGCAGAAGAAGCACCGGCUAACUCUGUGCCAGCAGCCGCGGUAAUACAGGGGGUGCGAGCGUUAAUCGGAAUUACUGGGCGUAAAGGGCGCGUAGGUGGAUAGUUAAGUUCGGGGUGAAAUCCCAGGGCUCAACCCUGGAACUGCCUCGGAUACUGGCUAUCUCGAGUCCGGAAGAGGUGAGUGGAAUUCCUAGUGUAGAGGUGAAAUGCGUAGAGAUCCGGAGGAACACCAGUGGCGAAGGCGACACGCUGGGCCGUACUGACGCUGAGGUGCGAAAGCGUGGGGAGCAAACAGGAUUAGAUACCCCUGUAGUCCCUGAGCGGGCUGGCAAGGCGCAU